GUGUUCACUUUGGCAGCACACAUACUAAAAUUGUAAUGAUACAGAGAUUAUCAUGGCCCCCACACAAGGAUGAUACACAAAUUUGUGAAGCAGUUCAUAUUUUU